UAUCUAUUUUCUUGUACGCCGAAAAGUGCAUUUUAGGAAAGCAGAGAUAAUUAUGUUUAUGCGCUUUUUGCCGUAAAAAUACGAAAUGUUGCAAGGGUGUGCUUUAAUUAUAAUACUUUAAAGUGGCGCUUUUCGUUUUUAUUUUAUUUCAUAUAUUUUAGUUGCGGCAAAUGUAUUUAAAGGAAAGGUUGAAUUUGCAAUGGAAUCAAAAGAUUUUCCAUGUUCACUCUAUAUCCAAAAAAGAAAAAAGAAAUAACAUUGAAAAUUUGUCAAAAUCAAGUACGUGCAUUAAUUAUUAAAUCAUUAACAAUUAAUUAUAAUAAAAUGUUCUAUUUUUCGCUGUAACAGCAGACGAUAAAAGUAACAAACCAAUGCGCCGUUUUCUUUCUGGAUCCGGUAUAAUACUGUUUUCCUUGGAAUGUAGGUGUUGCAGCAGAAUUCAUGUUGCCAAAUUGGGGAGCGACAAGUAAUGGCAUCAAAAACCCAAUGCCUCUAAUGCCAUAUCAAGGGAUUAUACAUGAUGAUUUAUAGGUUAUUUUAUCAAGACAAUAGCCGUGUAAUAGAAGCAGAAUCACUUUAGUUUAAAUGCGACAAUUUCUGAUAGAGAUGCUCAGUGCGCAUGUAUGCUUGCCGUAUUGGCUGUACACUUGCAAUCGAAAGUGAAAAAUCUGAUGAGCCAUAAAGGGAUGGUCAUAUCUGGAGGAGUUGGCUUUAGCUAAGACUUAUUGACGAGCCACAAAGCGAUGGCCAUGUCGGAAGGAGUUGAUUUUUUAGCCCAGGCUAAUUGACGAGCCAUGAAGCGAUGGUCAUAUCUGCAGGAUAUAGUUUUAGUUCACUUGAAGAAUGAUUGUGCAACAUUUAGAUUACGGACGCUUUGAAAUAACAUUUGACUGAUUGGUCAUAUUGAAUUACGUUUUAAGAGUUUCUUAAAAUUAAGUUCAGUUGGGCUACAUUGCUUCAGUUGUUGUCGCUCAAACCGAUAAACGACUACAAAAUAAGGAAUAAAUAUUAAAUAAGGUAAGCGCAAAAUAUGAUUUAA